GGACAGGCUACUAUGGGAUCCCAGCAGAAUGAUUGACAGUGAAGUGGAGAAAUAUUUGGAGGAGAUUCACCUUCAGUGCCUGCAGACAGCCAUAGGGGUCCAUGCAGUGCCUACAGGGGCCCAUGUACGCGAUGAUGAACAGGCUUUGUACUUGUUACUCCAAUGUGGUCACAACAAAGAAGAGGCACUUAGACGGAGGAAAAUGCAAGCAAUUCCUGCCACAGGAAC